rnacentral:rRNA from 1 species
CCUACGGGAGGUAGCAGUGGGGAAUAUUGGACAAUGGGGGGAACCCUGAUCCAGCGACGCCGCGUGAGUGAAGAAGUAUUUCGGUAUGUAAAGCUCUAUCAGCAGGGAAGCAAGAAAUGACGGUACCUGACUAAGAAGCCCCGGCUAACUACGUGCCAGCAGCCGCGGUAAUACGUAGGGGGCAGGCGGUAUCCGGGUUUACUGGGUGUAAAGGGAGCGUAGACGGCGAUGCAAGUCUGAAGUGAAAGGCGGGGGCCCAAACCCUGGCCUGCCUUGGAAACUGUAUGGCUGGAGUGCAGGAGAGGUAAGCGGAAUUCCUGGUGUAGCGGUGAAAUGCGUAGAUAUUAGGCGGAACACCAGUGGCGAAGGCGGCUUACUGGACUGUAACUGACGCUGAGGCUCGAAAGCGUGGGGAGCGAACAGGAUUAGAUACCCGAGUAGUC